CCAAUAGCGUAUAUUAAAGUUGUUGCAGUUAAAAAGCUCGUAGUUGAAUUUCGGGAUCAGUUCGUCGGUCGUGCCUUUGGUAUGUACUGGUGUUACUGGUUCCUCCCUUCUGACGAACCGUCAUGUCAUUAAUUUGGUGUGGCGGGAAAUCAGGACUGUUACUUUGAAAAAAUUAGAGUGUUUAAAGCAGGCUCGCGCUUGAAUACAUUAGCAUGGAAUAAUGAAAUAGGACGUUCGAUCCUAUUUUGUUGGUUUCUAGGAUUGACGUAAUGAUUAAUAGGUAUAGUUGGGGGCAUUAGUAUUCAAUUGUCAGAGGUGAAAUUCUUGGAUUUAUUGAAGACUAACUACUGCGAAAGCAUUUGCCAAGGAUGUUUUCAUUAAUCAAGAACGAAAGUUAGGGGAUCGAAGACGAUCAGAUACCGUCGUAGUCUUAACCAUAAACUAUGCCGACUAGGGAUCGGAUGAUGUUAAUUUUUUAAUGACUCAUUCGGCGCCUUACG
rnacentral:rRNA from 1 species